GAUGAACGCUGGCGGCGUGCCUAAUACAUGCAAGUCGAGCGAACAGAUGAGGAGCUUGCUCCUCUGACGUUAGCGGCGGACGGGUGAGUAACACGUGGAUAACCUACCUAUAAGACUGGGAUAACUUCGGGAAACCGGAGCUAAUACCGGAUAAUAUAUUGAACCGCAUGGUUCAAUAGUGAAAGACGGUUUUGCUGUCACUUAUAGAUGGAUCCGCGCCGCAUUAGCUAGUUGGUAAGGUAACGGCUUACCAAGGCAACGAUGCGUAGCCGACCUGUGAGGGUGAUCGGCCGCACGAGAACUGAGACACGGUCCAGACUCCUAAGGGAGGCAACAGGAGGCAAUCGUCCGCAAUGGGCGAAAGCCUGACGGAGCAACGCCGCGUGAGUGAUGAAGGUCUUCGGAUCGUAAAACUCUGUUAUUAGGGAAAAACAAAUUUGUAAGUAACUAGGCACGACUUGACGGUACCUAAUCAGAAAGCCACGGCUAACUACGUG
rnacentral:rRNA from 1 species